AUGGCCAAUGUGAUGUUAAAAUCCUUUGCAAAACUGAAAUACUAUGGAGGGGACAUUGCUUUUUGGGAUAUUGAACCAACCUUGCAGUCCUGGAAUAAAUCCCACUUGGCCGUGGUGAAUAAUCCUUUUAAUAUACUGUUGGAUCCUACUGGUUUGUAUUUUGGUGAGAAUUGUCGCAUCUGUGUUCAUCAAGGAUAUUGGUCUGUAAUUCUCUUUUUUGAUGUGGUCUUUGUCUGUUUUUGGGAUCAAGAUAAUGCUGGUCUCAUAAAAUGAAAAAACUUUAUUUUUUAAGCAAUCUCUACACCCAACGUGCAGCUUGACCUCAUAACCCCAAGAUCAAGAGUUACACACUUCACUGACUGAGCCAGCCAGGGGUCCCUCACUUUAAAUUUCUAAAAUGGCGAAUACUGAAAGGCAGCCCAAAUAAACAAGAGCUUUUGGGAGCCUUUGAUAAUUAAGAGUAGAA
rnacentral:lncRNA from 1 species